UGAAGUUGGUCAUUUAUUUUAAAUCAUGAAAAAGGAGAGAGAGAGAGAGAGAAAGAGUGUAAUUCCAGUAUAAGAGCUGCGUAUUCUAGCCUGAGAUCCCUGAGUUAAAAUGUAAUUACUUUAUCUCUUGAGUUUCGCAAACAUGAAGUUGGAUUCAGUGGAUCUUCUCAGAAUCCUUCCAUACAGUAGCUGACAAACAUUAUGAAGUCUCUUAGCUUCGCACUGAUGAAUAAUACAAGAGUAUCUAGAAUGAGACAAGAUUACGUAAAUUCUUAACAGAAGGAUGUAAAAAUUCCAUACCAUGCUGCAAAGAGGCUUGAGACUGAGGACUGACAUCAACUCUCACAGACAACUUUUCGACUCUUGUCUACAGUUUUUCUGCACUACCCAUGAAGGGAUUAUGAUCCAAGCUUCAAAAGAACUGAAUACCAAACAGGGGUCUUAAAUCAUUACUAGGUGUGAAGUACCAAACAGCACUCUCCCUUUAUCUUAGAACCUUACAUGAAUGUCUUGCCAUGUGGUUGCUGUAUGCUGACUCUUAGGUUUGAUGAAGUGGACAUGUUCCAUGAAGCAUACAUGAAAAUAUAACAGUAAGUUUUUAAGAUGCUUUUGUUUUGUUUUAUUUUUCUUGUUGAAAACUUAUUAAUACUUGUUCUACCUUUAUUAGUUUAUAAACAAGAAUGCUAACCCAAGGAUAAAAUGACCUGCAACACAUGUAAAUGUUUUACAGCGUUAUGGCUACUCAAAUGUACCUUAAAAUUAGAACCCAAGCAAGUA